CAGAACACCCUCAUAUUCAUACAGGGAUCAGGGAGAAGGGAAUCACAUAAGAGAGCAAGACUAAAUUAAAGGGAUUCAGUGGAAAGGGGGUGUACAAGAACUCAAACCACAUAAUGAACAAUAAACAACCAAGAGAAGAGACUGAACAUGCUGACUGAAAACUAACACAUAGGCAAAUAAGAAAAAAUGGAGAACUAAACAUGCUGCAACUGAAAU
rnacentral:lncRNA from 1 species